rnacentral:lncRNA from 1 species
GGUCAGGCAGGGCAUGCGGGAAGAGUGCCGUCCCAGCAGCUACCGUGAAGCUCCAGGCUAGAGCCGAUCGGUCUCUCUGGCUCAGUGUUGUUCCCACCGCCACACGGAGUGGGUGUGCACGCUCUCCUCUUGGGGAAUUGUCGCUCUCUGUAAUAACUUUGUGUGAUUCUCUACCUCGUGUGAGACACUUUGAUAUUGAAUGUGAAUGAUGAACUGAGCUUUAGCUUUGUCCUUUGAUGGAAAAAUGGUAGUGGUUUGGCAUUUAUUUAGGCAAACAUGACAGUACAUAACGGAAACUCGCAAGUAUUACCUAUACUUUUGUAAGUGUACUGUUUACAUAGAUUUGAUCCCUGGAAAAAAAAAAUAAAGAUACAAAAAAUAAAGAAUUGUACGCCUUUCCUUUUUCUUUUUCUCUCGCCCGUGCUCGGUAAUUAGUUAAGUGAACAGCUUGAACUCGCGUAAGCUGUCGCUGAGCGUCGCCAGGUCUGGAACUUUGAUGUAAUUUGUUCCGGGAAGUGUUUGAUCACGGCCUCAAGAUCAAUCGAGGCGUAUUUCUACACACUGAUUGUGACGUCUUCUCAUUCCUGGUAAGUUCUAAGCUGAUGAAGAUGGAAAGGAAGAAGCGAGGAACGAUAACAAAGGAAAAAGAAAGGAGAAAAUUGUACAUAAAGUAGAUUAGGUAAUGGAGAUGUUGGAGAGAGGAUGGUAAGGGUGAUUAUAAUUAUGAUAGAAUAGUAAUGGUAAUUAAUGAUGGUAACGAUAAUAGUGAUGAUAUGAAAGUAAUGAUGAUGAUGAUGG